AUCAUUUUUUCCUCAUCAAUUUCUGGGACAGUUCCUGUAUAGACAGGAUUUCCACAUGUCGCCCAGGCUGAUCUCAGACUCCUGACCUGGAUCUUCCCACCUCAGCCACUGAACGUGCUGGGAUUACAGUUGAAGGUCUGGAAUGGAAACUCCUAUUGUGAUCUUAAGGGCUGUAACCCAGAGAAUCUGGUUCUUCCUGGAGUAUUUCAGCAGGGAUCAGCCUGUUUCCUCUGAUCAGCUUAAAUAGGUCUACUUGAAGUUCACAACUGCCAAAACCGCGUGUUCAGACUGAAAGGCUGGGAGCAUUUCAGACGCAUUUAUGAACUUCCACCAAGAUGAUCCGGCAGGCUGAAAUCGCAGGGAGAGCGUCUGUUCAACAAACCCUUUCUUCUUGAUUGAAUUAGUGUUACCCACUAACAGGAUGAGGAAUUCCCACUCCACAAGCUGACUUUUUUUCCUCUUUCCACCUCCCGCCUCCCUCCAUUAAAAUGUAAACUUGAUUCCUGUGUCCUUUGCCGGAGCCUGGCUUCCCUGUAAGCCCAUCAUAAACAUCUUGGUAGAAAUGCAA
ensembl:lncRNA LINC01517 long intergenic non-protein coding RNA 1517